AUUAGCUAGUUGGGGGGGUAACGGCCCACCAAGGCGACGAUGGCUAGGGGAGCUGAGAGGCUGAACCCCCACACUGGUACUGAGACACGGACCAGACUCCUACGGGAGGCAGCAGUGAGGAAUAUUGGUCAAUGGGCGGAAGCCUGAACCAGCCAUGCCGCGUGCAGGAAGACGGCCCUACGGGUUGUAAACUGCUUUUCUGCGGGAAGAACGGCCUUUACGAGUAAAGGUGUGACGGUACCGCAGGAAUAAGGAUCGGCUAACUCCGUGCCAGCAGCCGCGGUAAUACGGAGGAUCCGAGCGUUAUCCGGAUUUACUGGGUUUAAAGGGUGCGUAGGCGGCUCCCUCAGUCAGCGGUGAAAUGUAUCGGCUCAACCGAUAACCUGCCGUUGAUACUGGGGAGCUUGAGUUGGGUUGAGGCAGGCGGAAUGUGCGGUGUAGCGGUGAAAUGCUUAGAUAUCGCACAGAACGCCGAUUGCGUAGGCAGCUUGCCAAGCCCACACUGACGCUGAGGCACGAAAGCGUGGGGAUCAAACAGGAUUAGAUACCCUGGUAGUCCACGCCGU
rnacentral:rRNA from 1 species